AAUGAAGAGGAAUGUCGCAAUGUUGGGGUAGAAAACUCUGGGUUUGCGACCGUAGCUUUCGUUUUCCGGCCAAUAGAGAGCCGCCUGAAGUCUGGUUGGGUUGGUGAGGCCCGAGGCAGGUAUCAGACAGACCCCCUUGGCCUGGUCCCUGCACUGUCCCAGGCCCACCUUGGACACCUCCAUUAUACUCAUGGAGAACAGAGCCCGUGGAAUGGAGGACCCUCCUGCAUGGCCUGCAGGUGACAUGGUGAGCUCUGCCCUGUGGUGGCCCAGCACCAUCGUGCCCGGUGCCCAGCCAAGCCCGACAGGCUACCAUUGGCCACACCCAAAAUCCAGGCAGUCAGGCAGAGAGUACAAAGCAAGACCUCAGAUCACAGCCACUGACCCUCCUAUCCCUCACUUCCCACCUGGGGCACCUUGGAAAUGUGUGAGCACACCAGAGAAAGAUCCAGUACCUGGUCUGCGACCACAGUGACCAAAAGGCCCUGCUCCACCUGUCUCACCAGGAAAUAGCAGCUGAGGACACAGAAUGCUGGACCUCUAUUCUCCUUCACAGCCACUGCCACAGUCCCCUGCUGCAGGUAGUGUCCUCUCAGAUUCAGCCAGUCUCCUCAUGAGGGGCCAGAGCAGAGCCUCUGCACAGAGUGUGAACACUCCUCUUGCUGGAUUCCUGGCCACAGGCCCUCCUCUCCUCAUUCAUAGCUUACCUCACUCCCUCCAGUCUGCCCUGCAUGGGUCCCUGGCUGACUGCAGAGAAGUCCUCUGGGCCCCCAAACAGGGACUCUCAGGUGUCCAAGUGAGAGCACAGUAUGCUGGGAGAGAGCGGAGCCCACACUGGUGGUUUGGGUUCUGGCCUCUGUCCCACCACUGGAGUGAGCCAAGUGACAGGUACCAAAGCAUGGCCUCUGUCCCUUGCAGUGGCCCCAAGUGCUCUUCCUGUGUGUCAGAGCUGUUUCCAAGGAACAAGUUAAAAUUUUUUUCAUUUAAGUGGCUGCUGAGGCUUAGUGUACAGAAUUCCUCAGCUAGAUCCAAAAAUCUGUCUUUUUGUCCGAGUCCCAAAAUUGUAGGAGCUUUGUAAACAGGUACUAAAGAUCACUCAUUAAAGGAGGGAGAAGAGUUGGGGGGAGGAGAAGGGAUCUGGAAUAUUUUCUUUCAGACUCAGUCUCAGCACAGCAGCAGCAUAAACCAAGCGGAUUGUUGGUGGCACCUUAGCACCCAGAGCAUUCUUGGAGGAGUGGGGACAAAGGCCAAGUGGCUGUUACCUGCACACAGGAGAGAUGACCAGGUCAGACAAAGGGCCUAGAAGGCAGACAUGAGUCAGUGCAGACUUUGUCCACCCAUGAGAGGGGGUCCAGGUGGGAUCUGUGUACCCUGCCCAACCUUGCUAAGGGCCAUCAAGCCAGCUCAAGGGCAAGGCCAGGACCAGCCAGACUAACAAGCAGCCUGGCCAUAGGCUUUGGCUGCUGUCCUUAACCCUCAAUCCCAGAAACAUGAGAAAGAGAAAGGGCAUCACCUGUGCCCAGGGACUGAGUCGCCCCAACUCAGGGAGCAUAACUGCUGUUCUAGCCGGGAGAUGCGGAACGCCAGGUACGAUGAAGACAUGACCAAGAAGCAGAUCCUGGAGAAAGAGGGCCUUAACCCUAAAUUACAGGGUUGUAGGGAUGAAAACUGGAGAUACUUUAUCUUGCUCUAGAAGAGCCUGCUGCACGGCUGCCAGACGCCACCCGGGAGCUUGCAGUUGACUCAGAACCUUCCCCUCGCUCUGGACACUGACCUCCCCACACACCAAGGCCCCGGCUCUAAACACUUAAGACACCCACCACCCUCCAUGCAGCCACCUACAGCACAAGGAAGACCUGCAGGAGCCCGUGAUCCCAGAGCCUCUGCUCCCCGUUGCUCUCGGGCUCAUCCUCCAGCCUCUCCUCCUCAGAGUCAGCGUUCUCUGCAACAGGACGGCGUUAGGCAGCUUCCUGGGCAGAAGGCAGGACCCCAGCCCACUCCCCCGCCCGUGUUCUCUGGAGCCGCUUGGGCUCUUGGCUUUCCCUUACGGAUUUGGAGAAAGAAAGAAACAGCUCUCAGAAGGCCUGCUGGCUGUGAUGACCUCUUUUUGCAGCAGUGGGAGGCAGGAAAGCCUGGUCUUUGCAAGCAGUUGCCAUGGACAAGCACGCUGAACUCACCAGACCCCGGAGGCUUCCUGGAGGGGAAGAAGUCAUCCGUGGAGUCCAUGGAUGCCCGAGGGAUACAAGGGAUGUUGUCUGGGAGGGACAGGGACCUGGAGGCAGGGCACACUUUUCUCCACUUCAUCUCAGGGAUGAGGACUUCCUGCAGAGAAGGCAGGAGAAGCUGUCUCACCGUGGCACCCUUGGGACCCCACUUGCCCUAAGGGGUUCACGCUAGAUUUACCAAAGCCUUUCCAGAUAGUAUCAAUAUGCCCAGCAAGCAUGAAAGCAGGUGCCCAGAAGCGGGGAAGCCACCGCCGUAGCAAUCACCCGUCUCAUCUGCUCCCUUGCUGUGACCAGCCACUCUUCCAGGGAAUGGUGUCUUUGAAGACUGCUAGUGUAGAACCACAGUGGAAUCUGAGACAUGAGCCAUCCCAGGUACAUGUUCAGAUCGGCUGAGUCCAAGACAGCUUGGCACUAUAUACCUUAGAUGGAAUAAGUUGUGACUCCUGCUAAUCUGAGCUCUAACCCUAUGUCACUGACCUUGAUUUAAGGUCCCCAUCAAUAAAAAGGGGAACAUCGCCUUCCCUCCCCUGCA